rnacentral:rRNA from 1 species
AAAUGAAUAGACGGGGGCCCGCACAAGCAGUGGAGUAUGUGGUUUAAUUCGAUGCAACGCGAAGAACCUUACCAGGGCUUGACAUCAUGCUGGAUGCGGUAGAAAUGCCGCAGACCUUUUAGGACGGCAUGACAGGUGGUGCAUGGUUGUCGUCAGCUCGUGUCGUGAGAUGUUGGGUUAAGUCCCGCAACGAGCGCAACCCUUGUUGUCAGUUGCCAUCACGUUAUGGUGGGCACUCUGGCGAGACUGCCGGCGACAAGUCGGAGGAAGGUGGGGAUGACGUCAAAUCAUCAUGCCCCUUAUGUCCUGGGCUACACACGUACUACAAUGGCUGCUACAGAGGGAGGCAAGGCGGCAACGCGGAGCAAAUCCCGAAAAGCAGUCCCAGUUCGGAUUGCGGGCUGCAACUCGCCCGCAUGAAGUCGGAAUUGCUAGUAAUGGCAGGUCAGCAUACUGCCGUGAAUACGUUCCCGGGCCUUGUACACACCGCCCGU